rfam:Gossypium hirsutum cultivar TM-1 chromosome 2, whole genome shotgun sequence
GAUCCACAAUGAGGGCACUUUUAUAGCAUCAUCUUGAAUUGUUCCUACGCCUCGUAUAAGGAUUCACCUUCGUAUUGAUUGAAAUUGGUGAUUUCUCACCUCAAAUG